AUUGAACGCUGGCGGCAUGCCUUACACAUGCAAGUCGAACGGCAGCAUGAUCUAGCUUGCUAGAUUGAUGGCGAGUGGCGAACGGGUGAGUAAUACAUCGGAACGUGCCCUGUAGUGGGGGAUAACUAGUCGAAAGAUUAGCUAAUACCGCAUACGACCUGAGGGUGAAAGUGGGGGACCGCAAGGCCUCAUGCUAUAGGAGCGGCCGAUGUCUGAUUAGCUAGUUGGUGAGGUAAAGGCUCACCAAGGCGACGAUCAGUAGCUGGUCUGAGAGGACGAUCAGCCACACUGGGACUGAGACACGGCCCAGACUCCUACGGGAGGCAGCAGUGGGGAAUUUUGGACAAUGGGGGCAACCCUGAUCCAGCAAUGCCGCGUGUGUGAAGAAGGCCUUCGGGUUGUAAAGCACUUUUGUCCGGAAAGAAAUCGCACUUACUAAUAUUAGGUGUGGAUGACGUACCGAAGAUAG
rnacentral:rRNA from 1 species